CUACGGGUCGCUGCAGGCGAGAAAACUUUGCAAUGUGCGAAAGCACGACAAGGUUAAUCCGAGUGGUUUGUGCUAAACGAACCUUUUGACAGUCCUAGAAACACUGUUGAAUAAGGGGUGGGCAAGUUCUGGUGUCAGCCGCCGCGGUAAAACCAGCACCCCAAGUGGUCAGGAUGAUUAUUGGGCCUAAAGCAUCCGUAGCCGGCUCUGUAAGUUUUCGGUUAAAUCUGUACGCUCAACGUACAGGCUGCCGGGAAUACUGCAGAGCUAGGGAGUGGGAGAGGUAGACGGUACUCGGUAGGAAGGGGUAAAAUCCUUUGAUCUAUUGAUGACCACCUGUGGCGAAGGCGGUCUACCAGAACACGUCCGACGGUGAGGGAUGAAAGCUGGGGGAGCAAACCGGAUUAGAUACCCGCGUAGUC
rnacentral:rRNA from 1 species